ensembl:lncRNA
AUAUUUUUUUUUAUUUAUGGUUUUUUUGCUCUAUAUGAUUAAAUAAAAUUACAUCUUACUAUCCCCAUGUACCACAUAAAAAUUCAUAUAUUAAUUGUCUUACAAUACUAUAUAUGUAUAUGUGUAUAUAUAUUAAUUUUUUUUUUUUUUUUUUUAUUACAGUUUUUAAUUUUUUGAGUUUUUAUUUGAACCAUUUAGUUGUUUUAAAAUACAUUUAAACUGUAGUGCAAAUAUAUUUGUAUGUGUAUAUAGCAGGUGUAUAUGAACACAUUUGUAUACAUAUAAAAAUACUUUUAUGAAUAUAAGUAUAUAAUACAACUGCUGAAAAAAAAAAAAAAAAAAAAAAAAAAAAAAAAAAAGAUGAGCCUACUAGUAGCUGACCAUUUAAACAAAUUAAUUUUUUGUUUUGAAGAAAAAUUAUCAGAUGAUAAAUUUUAUUAUAAAUCAGAAACAGUAAAAUUACUAGAUAUUUUAACAAAAGAAUGUAAAUCAAUUUCUUUACCAUUUUAUUUUGUAUAUUUUUUGAAACAUUAUUCGAAUUUUAAAUUAGAAAAUGUGCAAAGUCAUAUAUUUUAUUCGUUUGCAAUAGAUGAUAGAGUAUAUCACUGUUAUAAUAUGUCAUUAUUUAUAUUUUUUGACCAAGCAAAUAUAAAAGGUGAUGACAAAUGUUUUAGUAAUAAGAACAAAUUAAGUACAAAUGUUUGUUGUGCUUGUUAUUGUGGUAAAAACUACAAGGAAAAUAAUUAUGAAAAAAAAUGUAUUGAAGAAACACAAAAAAAAAACAUAGCUAUAAAUUAUAUAGAAAAAAAUAAUAAUUUCUUUACUGUUUACAAAAAUGAUGAUAUGUAUUUAAAUAAAAAUGAUUACAUUACAAAUGUACGUAAUGUGAUAGUGAAAGAUAAUAAAAACAAUUUUAACUUGAUGUUCAACAAUAAUUAUUCAGUUUUACCUUCUUUAUUAGAAAAAUCUAGUUUUGGAUUAUACCCAGGGUGUUAUUAUAUAGAGAUAUUUAAUAUAUAUUUGAUGGUAUUAUUAGAUGAAAUAAAUAAAAAAUACAUGUUUAGUGUUAUUCCGAUAGAACGCCAUGGUGUAGAAGAAACUAAAAAAAUAAUUUUUCAAUUAAAUGAUAAUAAGGAGCUUAUAACAGAUUGCAUUAAAAAAAGAAAAGUCAAUCAUAAUAUCAUAUUCCAUAUUCCUAAAAUAAAUAAUAACAAAAAUAUUCACAUUGAUUACAAUACUGUAAAUAGGAAUAUAUCAAUUAGAGAUAAAAAUGAUAUGAAACCAGUAAAAAAAUUAUCUUUAACAGGAACCAUAUCGGGGGCUCAAAAUAGGUAUAUACUUGGUAUGAACAUGUGUUACAAAAAAAAAAAAAAUGAGCAAAAUAAAAAUAAAUAUAAAAUUCUACUUAACAUGUGUAAAAAGGAAAAUGAUUUGUUAAGUUAUAACAAUAAUUUAUUUACAUAUCUCUUAGAAAAAAAGGGGGGAAAUAAAUAUAAUAACAAUUGUUUAAUACUAUCGUUGUAUAAUACUAGAAAAUGGAUGCCUUGUUUUAUUAAAUACUUUUUAUUUUAUAGAUACAAAGGUAAUAAAAAAUAUUUAUUACUAUUAUUUUUAUUAUUAUCAAAUAAGAAAACUUUGAAGCAUAUAAGUUGGAUAAUACACAAUAGAAAUUAUUUGGUAAAGGGAAAUAAAAAAAUUCGAGCAUGGACACAAUUAAAAUUUUUUAUGAGUAAAUUUUUAUUUAAUAAUAGAUCUCCUUUUCGUAAUUUAAACAAAACUUAUGAACAUGUACUGCACAUUUUAGAACAAUGUUUUUUAAGUUUUUUUUUGGAACUAGGAAAAAAAAAAAACGAGAUUCAGGACGUUAUGUCGCAUAAGAGUAUGGUGUUUUCGAAUAGGAACAAAAACUUUUUGUUAGUUUGUGGUACAGGUAAUAAUAAUAAUGAUUGUGAAUAUAAUGACCGUGCUGAUGGUGAUAACAUUGGUGAUGGUAGUAGCGGUGGUAACCGUAGGGGUAGUGAUCAUAACGGUAGUGGUAAUAACGGGAGUGAUAAUAACGGGGGUGAUAAUAACGGGAGUGGUAACAACGGUAGUGGUAACAACGAUAGUGGUAACAACGGUAGUGGUAACAACGGUAGUGGUAACAACGGUAGUGGUAACAAUGGUAGUGGUAACAAUGGUAGUAGUAAUAACGGGAGUGGUAAUAACGGUAGUGGUUAUAAUAACAAUGGAAAUAACAGUGAUAAUAAUGAUGAUGAUGAUAAAAAGAAUUAUUAUAACUGUGAGGAUAAACACAAUGAAGAGGAAGAUGAUGAUAAUAAUGAUGAUGAGAAAGACACGCAGGAUGAGAAAUAUAAAUACUACAAGCAAAGGAAGAAAGACAAGCAAAACAAAAAAGACAAACAAAACAAGAAAGACAAACAAAACAAAAAAGAACAGAAAGAAAACAAAGACAAACCAAAUAAGAAAGACAAGAAAGACCAACAAAAAGAGCUAGAAAAACUGGAAGAUAAAAACAAAAAGGAUAAGCGGAACCUAAAAAAAGAACAAAACGAUUUGAAUAGUAUUAAUAAUAAACACUCGAAUAACAUUUAUAAUAAUAGUAAUUGUAAUUAUGAAUAUGCAGAUAAUCGCAUAUAUACAGAAACAUAUACAAAAAGUGAUACAGAUGAUGAAGUACUUAACUAUAAUGUAAAUACAAAUAAGUUAGUUAAAACUAAACAGACAGACACAAUAAAUAAUUUUGAAAAUAAUUAUAACAUGGAUAUGUAUAAUAAUACUAAACAAAAUGAUGAACAAAAGAUGAAUAUGUAUAUAAAAAAAAGAGAAAAGAUAUAUAGUAAUACUGUAAACGAAGAGAAUCCAGUUACAACUACUAAUAAUAGUGCAUAUGAGUCAGAUAGCAACGAACCAACGAGGUUUGGUGGUUUUUUUAAUGUAAAUAAUAUAACUAGUUCUAAAUACUCAAAUAAUAUUGUAAGUAAACCUAAUAACAUGGUAAACAAUCCUAAUGAUAAUGAUAUGAUGAAUAUGUGUUUGUACACACAUAUAAAUAAUUAUAAUAACAACAUUAUAAACGGUAGUAAUAAUGAUAAUGUUAAUGAUAAUAACAAUAUUAACAAUGAUAGUUACAAUAAUAUUAUUAAAGAAUCCGUUUAUAACAACCGUAGUGUGAAAGAGUAUUGUAGUACUAAUGAAGAAGAACCAGUUAAUAAGUUUUCAAAUGCUAAUGAACAAAUAAUAGAUGAUAGUCUUACAUAUAAUAAAUCUGAUUUAAUAUAUAAUAGGCCUAAUUUAAAUAAAAAAAAUCAAAUAUUAUUAUUUGAAGGAUAUGAAUCUAAUUUUUCAAGUGUACAACAAAUGAAUAUGUCAGGUGAAAAUGAUGAAAUAAAAAAAGAUGUGUACCAUCCAGCUGAUGCACAGAAAAAAAUUAAUAAAAAACAAACUAAACUAAAAAUAGAAAAACGUAAUAAACACUUAGAAGAUGAAAAAAAAGAAGUUUUAAAUAAAGUGUCACAGAUAACAAGAGUUGGAGGAGUUUGUUUUGAUAAGAAUAGACAAAGAUGGAUUGCUCACUGGAAAAUAGGUGGAAAGUACCAUAAACAUUAUUUUCCGAUAAGUCAAUAUGGGUUUGAAGCGGCUAGAGAAAAAGCUAUUAAUUGUAGAAAAGAUGCAGAAAAACAAUAUAAUUUACCUGAAAUACAACCAAGAAAUCGUUGGAAAAAAAAAAAGACUAUUGGUACUACUUCUUAUAUAAAACAUGCAGCAAAAUUACCACGAUAUGAAGGUGUCGCAUAUGAUGAUUUAACUAAAAGUUGGAUUAGUACAUUUGUUGUACAUAAAAAUUUUUCCAUAGAUGAGCAAGGUUUUUAUGAAGCUAGAAAACGUGCUAUUUAUUGUAGAAAAGUAUUUGAAAAAAUUAACACACGAGAUGAUUAUGAAUUUAUACUGCAUGAUGUGUUAGGAAUGGAUCAGGAAGAGUUUGAAGAAUUAAAUACUUUUUUUAAUAUAAAUAAAAAUGAGUUAAAACACAUGGAUGAGCUAAGUCCUAACCCAAAUGAUAAUAAUUUUAAAAUUAUAAGUGAUUUAGAAAAUUUAACAAAUAGUUGUAAUAUUAAUAAUGGUAACAAUAACAUUAACAAUGAGUUAGUUUAUGAAAAUGGAAUUAAUUAUAAUACAAAUAACACAAUUAAUACUAUGCUUACAUGUAAUGAAGAAAAUGGCAUGAAUAAUAAUGAUAAUGCUGAUAUGGAAAUGUUGAACGAAAAAUUUUUAAAAACAUUA